rnacentral:rRNA from 1 species
CGUAUAUUAAAGUUGUUGCAGUUAAAAAGCUCGUAGUUGGAUUUGUGGAUGCUCACUUGGUCCUCUUGAGGCGCCAGUGUGGGGAUCCAUCCUUGGGUGGAUGCUGCAUGGCAUUCGGUUGUCGCGCAGGUGAUGCCCAUCGUUUACUGUGAAAAAAUCAGCGCGUUCAAAGCAGGCUUAUGCCGUUGAAUGUAUUAGCAUGGAAUAAUGAGAUAGGACCUCGGUACUAUUUUGUUGGUUUGCGCACUGGGGUAAUGAUUAAUAGGGACAGUUGGGGG